AGAACAUGCCAGGAUUUUCUAGGAUGACGGAAGUCUUGUUUGGAAAACUACCACUGGAUUCUGAUCUUAAGCAACCUCCAUGAUUUUCUUGAAACAAAUCGUUGUGAGUAGGGAGCAAUGAAAAUAUGAUGUUUAUAAAUGAAAGCAGUACCCCUUGCACUGAGGAGCAUCUUACUCAGUGAUAAACGUGAGUAAAAUGCACCAAGGCUACUUAAGGAGUAUGCAGUGUAAGAAAGAGGGAAUAAUGAGAGGGUGAUUAAAGGCAUCAGAAUGU